CAGUAGCCGCGGUAAUACGUAGGGUGCAAGCGUUAAUCGGAAUUACUGGGCGUAAAGCGUGCGCAGGCGGUUUGUUAAGACAGAUGUGAAAUCCCCGGGCUUAACCUGGGAACUGCAUUUGUGACUGGCAAGCUAGAGUAUGGCAGAGGGGGGUGGAAUUCCGCGUGUAGCAGUGAAAUGCGUAGAUAUGCGGAGGAACACCGAUGGCGAAGGCAGCCCCCUGGGCCAAUACUGACGCUCAUGCACGAAAGCGUGGGGAGCAAACAGGAUUAGAUACCCCUGUAGUCCCUGUCUCUUAUAC
rnacentral:rRNA from 1 species